AGGUACUGCAACAGACUUCGGUCUGAUGACAGAUGACCGAUAGUGAUGGAUUCCAAAUCCCUGGUGUUCGUCAGUCUUGUGUACUUCCUGAAGAUGCGAUCUCAUCUGCUGCUUAUCAUCAGAUACCUGCUUUGGAGAGGUCUGACAGGUGCACCUUUGCUCCCUCCUUGGUCAUCACUGGAGUCCCUCCAUCAACAGUUGGAAUGAUGAAAACACCCGAUUGGCUGUCGUGAUUGGGUAACUGAGUAGAAACAACUUGCUGGAAGGUAGAACCUCUGUGCAAUGCUGGGAAAUGGACAGUUAUGAACAGUGAUUACCUUGGCGAGUGAGCACCGGUCUCGUUGACACAGAAGAAUUUCUUGUGGUAUCAGUAAUCCCUGAGUUGGAAUGCGUCUCCAGAGAGCCCGCCUCAUCUUUGGAGUUAAGAUCAUCUUCUGGAUGUGCUGUGUCUGACGACUGAAGGACACGUACAUAAAAAAUGGAUUUAACCCACAAAACGGAGCACCAGGACCUUCUUUCCUUAGAUGGAAAUGACGCCACCAUGAGCACUCACCAGAAGAAUGGAUGUGGUCGCUCAGGACACAUGCAGUCCAAGAGCAUCCGAUUUUCGAGACUCUGGCGUCCAUUGACUUAAGUAAUGAAAGAGGUCACUGAGAACCCUGAUGAUGCCCAGACCAGCGGCUGUUGUUUUGACCACACCGAUCAAUAGCAGCUCUCCAGAAGGAGGGUGCCGAAGACGUAUCACAUGGCUUCGCAUGAAACGGAAGAUUCCUCAUUGGAAAAGAAAAUGGCGGGGCGGCGUGCAGGGAUGAUAUCAUGGUCAUCCUGAUUGCUUCUCAUCCUCAACGCAAGAUAAAGAGCCUCCCAUUCAAAAAGAUAUACAGAGUGAGGAGAAGGAGGUGCUGCGUGGGAGUUGCUCUGCUUCUCUGAAGAAUUUAUAAGCCCCUCCACCCAUUUUAUUGCUCGAGGCUUGGAGUCUUCAGAGAUGGAGUCUCAAUUACUGUUUUUCAGAUGUUUACAGCCCCCCCCCCCCUUAAGGAGUGACAGGAGUGAGAUGACAUCACUCCAGCUUUUCCCCUUGCCGGUGUGUGUGUGAAGUAAUCAGCAACGACAGGCACAGAGCGACAGAGACAUGGAGCUCACCAUCACAACCGCACUCAAAAAAAAAAAAAAAAAAAAAAAAAAGCAUAUCGAAUGCAGCACCAUAAGCCUGAGAGUGCGGCCCAGAUGCAUUGUGAUCAAAGCCCGGCACACUCCGCAUGCACAUCAAUGGCACGCCAAGAAUGAUGAAUGGCUCGUCCUUGCUGCGGUCGAGUAAAUAAAUGGGCCUGGCCGCUGCAGGUUCACGGCAUUGUUGGCUGACUGUAUUGCUGCCAUGGCAACAAGCGCCUUAAAGAGCCGUCGCCCUGGAGACGUUGACCUCGCCGGCGUGAUGGAUGAGGACUGGAGGUAUCUCCUUACCCAGUGUCCUGGUUCUGAAGUCCGUCAGCCACAGCCACCUGCCUCCCUCCGUUAUCAACGCUCAUUUUAGUCUUCUUCGUCUUCUUCUUCUUCUGGCUGCUCCUCAACCAGCUGAUGGCCUGUCCCAGGGAGCUUCCCGGCU